rnacentral:snRNA from 1 species
AUCGCUUCUCGGCAUUUUGGCUAAGAUCAAGUAUAGUAUCUGUUCUUAUCAGUUUAGUAUCUGAUAUGUCCUCUAUCCGAGGACAAUAUGUUAAAUGAAUUUUUGGAACUAGGAGUCAGAAUAGGAGCUUGCUCCAUCUACUCUACGCAUUGACCUGGUAUUGCAGUAACUCCAGGAAUGGUGCAGCCCCU